rnacentral:rRNA from 1 species
GACGAACGCUGGCGGCGUGCUUAACACAUGCAAGUCGAACGGAAAGGCCCCUUUGGGGUUACUCGAGUGGCGAACGGGUGAGUAACACUUGAGUAACCUGCCCUUGACUUCGGGAUAACUUCAGGAAACUGGGGCUAAUACCGGAUAGGAAUCCUUGCUGCAUGGUGGGGGUUGGAAAGUUUCGGCGGUUUUGGAUGGACUCACGGCUUAUCAGCUUGUGGGUGGGGUAGUGGCUUACCAAGGCUUUGACGGGUAGCCGGCCUGAGAGGGCGACCGGCCACAUUGGGACUGAGAUACGGCCCAGACUCCUACGGGAGGCAGCAGUGGGGAAUAUUGCACAAUGGGCGGAAGCCUGAUGCAGCAACGCCGCGUGCGGGAUGACGGGCUUCGGGUUGUAAACCGCUUUCAGCAGGGGAGAAGCUUGUGGUGACGGUACCUGCAGAAGAAGCACCGGCUAACUACGUG